rnacentral:lncRNA from 1 species
CUGGAAGGCAUCUAAUAUAGGACUCGUUUUUGGUGUCGGGUCUGGCAUCUUUUUCCUUCUAACCUUCUUUGCAGGAGUCGUUUGCUUCUCAAAGCAUUCAGCACGUAGAACAGGCAGUCCAAUUCCUGCAUCUUUUACGUUUCCUGUGUCUGAGGAGCACAACACACUUCUGUCUUUAUGGCCAAGCUCUUGUUUUAAAACUGGUUUGAAGAACUCUGUAAUAGACUGGUUUCUGCAGUCCCGGGCCGCCCCCCUGCCCGCUGCCGGCCUAAAAUGGCGCCCGGAGCGGGUAGCGGGCGGGCUCGGUGAUGGCGAGCCCACGCCGAGCGGACGGGUCAUGGCGCGCGGCGCCCGGCUGAUCCUGCGAGGAGGGACGGAGGUGUGCGACCACCGCCCGACCCCAGCACCAUAGCACGGCCGCGCCCCAGACCCUCGCCCUCGGGCGCCGCGGGCGUGAGGCGGCCGCGGUGUUAGGCUCGCUCGCUGAUUGGCUGAGCGCCUGAAGGACUCACG